GAGUUUGAUCAUGGCUCAGAGUGAACGCUGGCGGCAGGCCUAACAUAUGCAAGUCGAGCGGCAGCGCGGGGGCAACCCUGGCGGCGAGCGGCGGACGGGUGAGGAAUGCAUCGGAAUCUACCUCGUUGUGGGGGAUAACCUCGGGAAACCGGGACCAAUACCGCAUACGACCUACGGGUGAAAGUGGGGGACCGCAAGGCCUCACGCGAUGAGAUGAGCCGAUGCCGGAUUAGCUAGUUGGCGGGGUAAAGGCCCACCAAGGCGACGAUCCGUAGCUGGUCUGAGAGGAUGAUCAGCCACACUGGAACUGAGACACGGUCCAGACUCCUACGGGAGGCAGCGGUGGGGAAUAUUGGACAAUGGGCGCAAGCCUGAUCCAGCCAUGCCGCGUGUGUGAAGAAGGCCUGGUU
rnacentral:rRNA from 1 species